CGCUGGCGGCAUGCCUAACACAUGCAAGUCGAACGGGGGUAGCAAUACCCUAGUGGCGAACGGGUGAGUAACACAUAAGCAAUCUGCCCUUCACAGGGGGAUAACAGCGGGAAACUGCUGCUAAUACCGCAUAAGACCACGGUACCGCAUGGUACAGGGGUAAAAACGAAUCAGUGGUGAAGGAUGAGCUUAUGUCCCAUUAGCUAGUUGGUGAGAUAACAGCCCACCAAGGCGACGAUGGGUAGCCGACCUGAGAGGGUGAUCGGCCACACUGGAACUGAGACACGGUCCAGACUCCUACGGGAGGCAGCAGUGGGGAAUAUUGGGCAAUGGAGGAAACUUCCUUACCCAGCAAUGCCGCGUGAGUGAAGAAGGUUUUCGGAUUGUAAACCUCUGUCGCAGAAGACGAAGGAAGUGACGGUAUUCUGUGAGGAAGCCCCGGCUAACUACGUGCCAGCCGCCGC
rnacentral:rRNA from 1 species